CUUGGCGACCAUAGCGAGAUGGAACCACCUGACCCCAUUCCGAACUCAGAAGUGAAACGUUUUAGCGCCGAUGG
rnacentral:rRNA from 1 species